rnacentral:tRNA from 1 species
UCCCUAAUAGCUCAGCUGGUAAAGAAUCUGCCUGCAAUGCAGGAGACACUGGGUUUGAUUCCUGGGUUGGGAA